rnacentral:rRNA from 1 species
GACGAACGCUGGCGGCGCGCUUAACACAUGCAAGUCGAACGGAAAGGCCUGCUUUCCCUUGUGGAUUGCGGGUACUCGAGUGGCGAACGGGUGAGUAACACGUGAGUGAUCUGCCCCCAACUUGGGUAUAAGCCUGGGAAACUGGGUCUAAUUCCCGAUAGGACUGCAGGGUGGUGCCUGUGGUGGAAAACGAUUUUCUAGUGGUUGGGGAUGAGCUCGCGGCCUAUCAGCUUGUUGGUGGGGUAAUGGCCUACCAAGGCGGCGACGGGUAGCCGGCCUGAGAGGGUGGACGGCCACAUUGGGACUGAGAUACGGCCCAGACUCCUACGGGAGGCAGCAGUGGGGAAUAUUGCACAAUGGGCGGAAGCCUGAUGCAGCGACGCCGCGUGGGGGAUGACGGCCUUCGGGUUGUAAACUCCUUUCGACCGCGAGGAAGCCACCUGGUUGGAAGGGUGGUGUCGGUAGUGGUAGAAGAAGCACCGGCUAACUACGUG